rnacentral:tRNA from 2 species
GGCAGUAUGACUGGAGAUGGCUCCAGCACGACCUCAUACGUCGUAAGACGCAGGUUCGAGUCCUGCUACUGCCACCA